AUCAACUUUCGAUGGUAGGAUAGAGGCCUACCAUGGUGGUAACGGGUAACGGGGUGUUAGGGCACGACACCGGAGAGGGAGCCUGAGAAACGGCUACCACAUCCAAGGAUGGCAGCAGGCGCGCAAAUUACCCAAUCCCGACACGGGGAGGUAGUGACAAUAAAUAACAAUACGGGGUCCUUUGGGUCUCGUAAUUGGAAUGAGUACAAUUUAAAUCUCUUAACGAGGAACAAUUGGAGGGCAAGUCUGGUGCCAGCAGCCGCGGUAAUUCCAGCUCCAAUAGCGUAUAUUAAAGUUGUUGCAGUUAAAAAGCUCGUAGUUGAAUUUCGGGAUUAGUAGGUUGGUCGUGCCUCUGGUAUGUACUCGCCUUACUGGUUCCUCCUUCUUGAAGAACUGUAAUGCCAUUAAUUUGGUGUUGCAGGGAAACAGGACUGUUACUUUGAGAAAAUUAGAGUGUUUAAAGCAGGCCAUUGCCUGAAUACAUUAGCAUGGAAUAAUGAAAUAGGACGUUGAUCCUAUUUUGUUGGUUUCUAGGAUUGACGUAAUGAUUAAUAGGGAUAGUUGGGGGCAUUAGUAUUCAAUUGUCAGAGGUGAAAUUCUUGGAUUUAUUGAAGACUAACUACUGCGAAAGCAUUUGCCAAGGAUGUUUUCAUUAAUCAAGAACGAAAGUUAGGGGAUCGAAGACGAUCAGAUACCGUCGUAGUCUUAACCAUAAACUAUGCCGACUAGGGAUCGGAUGAUGUUAAUUUUUUAAUGACUCAUUCGGCGCCUUACGGGAAACCAAAGUGUUUGGGUUC
rnacentral:rRNA from 1 species